AGAAAGCGUUUGAAUUGCCAAGGAACUCUCAGAAUAAAAUGAAAGGGUUGGACUUGUAGAAAUUUAUAGGCAUCUAUAUCGAUGUAUGCAAUACAGAUAGUUAUCACCGUUGAGAUGUGUAUCAAAGCUUAUGGGCCGGUCUUCCGGGAACUUUUUUUCAAGAUGGCCGACGGCACUACAAGGAAAUCACUUUUUUUGCCUUUCCACCUUCCUUUUUUUUCUACAGCAGACAAGUUGGCCGGAGCUUCAGCAGCUAGCUUGGAUCCUGAGUAAACACGAGGCUGGAGGUCAGGGGCUCCACAUAAUGAAGAAAAACGAUGGCACAAACUUAAAUCUCUGGUAACCACAGAGCUACCUACCAUCCCAGCUCUGGACUGUCCCCAGUAGGCUUCUUUUACUGGAGAGAAAAAUCAAACUUGAUCUUGUUUAAGCCACUUAUUUGAGUUUUCGGUCAAAAGCA